GAGACUCAAACUCAGACCCUGAGAUCAAGUCGCGUGCUCUACCCACUGAGCCAGCUUGGAGUCCCUAAUUAGUUCUACUUUUUACAUAUCCCGGGAUUCUUCAGGAUAAUAUGGAGGAAACUCUAUAAAAAGGAACUUGGGCCGAUAGCCUUUAGAAGCUGAGAACAUAGCUUGAGUGAGAGCUAAAAAAGGACCUUCAGUCUUACAACACCAAGGAACUGGCUUCUACCGAUGACUGGAAAGAGUUUAGAAGCAAAUGUUUCUCCAGAUACUCCAGAUAAGAUCCCAGGCUGGCUGAGACCCUGAAUUUGGUUUUAUGAGAUCCUAAGCAGAGAACAGUGAAAUCCACUUGGACUUCUGACCUGCAGAAAUAUUUUUACAAAUAAAGCUGCUGUGAACGUUCAUGUUCAAGUUUCUGUAUGAACAUACGCCUUCAUUUCCAUUGAGUAAUACUUAGGAGUGGACUGUCUGGAUCCUAUAAUAGUUACAUGAACUGAGGUUGUAAGAUGUUAAAGACUCACAUACAGAAACCUGCAGCGCUGCAUGUAAUUCUGGGUCUUGACUGAUCAGGAAACCCACCCUCAAAUGCACAGGUAAUUUAAUCAAAAUCUGCUUAAAGACAAUGUGAACAAAAUUGAGGUGAGAAAUUAUGCUAUAACUGAAUGGAUUAAUAUAAAUGAAGAGGUAUUCGUCUUUAUUUUUUAAGGUGCAUUUUAGGUAUAGCCGGAUGU